AAGCAACGCGAAGAACCUUACCAGGCCUUGACAUGCAGAGAACUUUCCAGAGAUGGAUUGGUGCCUUCGGGAACUCUGACACAGGUGCUGCAUGGCUGUCGUCAGCUCGUGUCGUGAGAUGUUGGGUUAAGUCCCGCAACGAGCGCAACCCUUGUCCUUAGUUACCAGCACGUUAUGGUGGGCACUCUAAGGAGACUGCCGGUGACAAACCGGAGGAAGGUGGGGGAUGACGUCAAGUCAUCAUGGCCCUUACGGCCUGGGCUACACACGUGCUACAAUGGUCGGUACAAAGGGUUGCCAAGCCGCGAGGUGGAGCUAAUCCCAUAAAACCGAUCGUAGUCCGGAUCGCAGUCUGCAACUCGACUGCGUGAAGUCGGAAUCGCUAGUAAUCGUGAAUCAGAAUGUCACGGUGAAUACGUUCCCGGGCCUU
rnacentral:rRNA from 1 species